ncrna:unclassified sequences Glutamine-II riboswitch (downstream peptide RNA)
CAUCGUUGGCCUGCCAUUUGUAGGUGCAGUUCGAUCCGGAGUCAUGCAACGGGGACCCGGA